rnacentral:rRNA from 1 species
AUUAUACUGCGAAACUGCGAAUGGCUCAUUAAAUCAGUUAUCGUUUAUUUGAUAGUACCUUACUACUUGGAUAACCGUGGUAAUUCUAGAGCUAAUACAUGCUAAAAACCCCGACUCACGAAGGGGUGUAUUUAUUAGAUUAAAAACCAAUGCCCUUCGGGGCUCUUUGGUGAUUCAUAAUAACUUCUCGAAUCGCAUGGCCUUGCGCCGGCGAUGGUUCAUUCAAAUUUCUGCCCUAUCAACUUUCGAUGGCAGGGUCUUGGCCUGCCAUGGUUACAACGGGUAACGGAGGGUUAGGGCUCGACCCCGGAGAAGGAGCCUGAGAAACGGCUACUACAUCCAAGGAAGGCAGCAGGCGCGCAAAUUACCCAAUCCCGAUACGGGGAGGUAGUGACAAUAAAUACUGAUACAGGGCUCUUUUGGGUCUUGUAAUUGGAAUGAGUACAAUUUAAAUCCCUUAACGAGGAACAAUUGGAGGGCAAGUCUGGUGCCAGCAGCCGCGGUAAUUCCAGCUCCAAUAGCGUAUAUUAAAGUUGUUGCAGUUAAAAAGCUCGUAGUUGAACCUUGGGCCUGGCUGGCCGGUCCGCCUCACCGCGUGCACUGGUUCGGCCGGGCCUUUCCCUCUGGGGAACCCCAUGCCCUUCAUUGGGUGUGGCGGGGAACCAGGACUUUUACUGUGAAAAAAUUAGAGUGUUCAAAGCAGGCCUAUGCUCGAAUACAUCAGCAUGGAAUAAUAGAAUAGGACGCGCGGUUCUAUUUUGUUGGUUUCUAGGACCGCCGUAAUGAUUAAUAGGGACAGUCGGGGGCAUCAGUAUUCAAUUGUCAGAGGUGAAAUUCUUGGAUUUAUUGAAGACUAACUACUGCGAAAGCAUUUGCCAAGGAUGUUUUCAUUAAUCAGGAACGAAAGUUAGGGGAUCGAAGACGAUCAGAUACCGUCGUAGUCUUAACCAUAAACUAUGCCGACUAGGGAUCGGACGAUGUUAUUUUUUGACUCGUUCGGCACCUUACGAGAAAUCAAAGUCUUUGGG